AAAAUGAAAAAACAACACACAAUUAAAAAUGUCUACAUAAAACUGCUGUAAGGGGAAAAUUUUCUGUGCCGCAGAUUUCACUUCGGAUGAGCCUUUCUGUGCUCCAGCCAGCUCCACUCGACCCAGUCCAGUUUGUCGUUCGCGUCUUCCUGCAUUGCAAGUAUCUCCCUAUUACGCCUCAGUGACAGGAAGCUCAACGUCCAGAAGUACAUAUCAGUUUUCUUGUGCAGUCGGCCAGUCGACAACAUCUCGUUCAUGAGCAUCUGCGCGUCUGGAACAUUAGGACCCAGCAAAUUGUUGAUUGUAGCUGCUACCUUUUCACUGGCAGUGGAAGCACGGUUAACAGCGUCCUAUACAUCCGAGGCGGACAUUUUUGCUCUCUUACCUUUUUUGCUAUUGCCGCCAGACCUACGUUUAUCCCCACUUUGCGGC
rnacentral:lncRNA from 1 species